ensembl:lncRNA
UACAGCAGCAUGGAGCUGUUGAGAGAGACGUAGCAGCUUGAUUCAUUUGAAAUCGUAGGACAAAUAGGCUUUAAAAAGCAAAUGCAUUCAUUCUGACACUAAUUAUGUGUCUUUCCCACAUGUCGUAGUAUCUUGUGUCACAAAUUGCUCUCAUUUGCUGCUCAGUGCAAAAUGUCUGAGAGACGAUGAGUGCAAAACAAUAUGCUUUAAUCAGGUGUGGGAUAGAUCUCCGAAUCACGAGGAGUCCAAGAGCCAAACAAAACAAGAAACUUCAGAGGAAAGGAUUUAAGAGAGUCUGAAACAGCUGCUUUGAAGAGAUCUUUCACAUGAAUGACUAGGCUGUGAAUUGCUAAGAUCUAUCACUGCCAAAGGCUACUGAAUAUUCCUGGUUUGCUAUGGAUACAACUGUUUCAUUUUCCUGCUGCUGCAUCCUGUUAUUCUUCCCAAGAUUUUUGUGCAGAACAGGGCAGAGAGAACUCACCUGCAGCCAGUGGAUUUGACUGUUGAUAAGAAGGAACAGAUGGCAGCACCAUUCUGUCUCAGCACCAAACACUGUCUGGGAGAUGUAUGCAAUGUAAAAAGCAUCCCUGUGUGGAGAAGCAGAUAGUGCUCCUGCAAAGGGGUUAUGAGAAAGGGUGGAAAUUCUGAUACCUUUUAUUAGAAUUGCACAGAAGUAGGAGAAUCCUCACAGAGUCGCAGACUCCUUUCUCUGUUGCCUUUGAAAAGUUAACACAUGUGAGGCUAUGCAAGAAGCAGACACUACAGUGGAGGAGGAGGGAUGUGGCAAUAAAGGACAAGAGGAAACCAGGAACAAGCUGUUGAUCUCUGUAAGUUUCAUUAGCUCUCUCACGUCCCCUCCUUUAUUUCUCUUCAGUAAAGUAGUCAGCCUCAGUCUUCACAGACUUUCCUUCAGCCACUAAUCAUUUUUGUUGCCCCUUUCUAUUUCAGCUUUAUGUUUUUUUUAGAUGAGUUGAAUGUAGCUUAAUACAGGAUUUCUGACAGGAUACAAUAUCCAGCUAUUCAGUGACGUAACACUUGAGCAUUAAUUUCUGUCUCAUUCUUUAUACAGUCCAACAGUGUAUUUACUUUUUCUGACCACUGCUUCCAGUUGUUUUGCUUUUUCAUUGAGCUGUCCAAAGUGGCACGUUUUCUCCUCCUUCUCUUUUUCCCGAGUGGCUAGUUAAUUUACAGCCAAGCGUUGUGCAUGAGUAUUGAAAAUUAUUCAUUCAAAUGUGCAUUACCUUGCAUUUAUGAACAGUGAAUUUCAUCUGUCUUCAUGCUGCGCAUCUGUCUAGUUUUUCUAAUCUUUUGUAAUCAUAAGUAACCUAAAUAUUUUUGCGCCCUGUGCAAAUUUUAUCCCCUUCCCCUCUCUUUUGCAGAAUGCUAAUGAAUAUAUUAAACAACACCAGUCCUAAUACUGACUACUGCAGCACUUUAUGGUGAGCCUUUUAGCAAGCUAGCAAUCAACAAUUUAUUUCUACCCUUUUGUUUCUGUCUUUGGCUGUCUUUGUUUAACAAACAUUUAUUUUCAAAGCAUUACUAUUUCCAAGUGUUCUGUUGAGAGCCCUCCCACAGAGUGCAGGGACAAAUGCAUGACUCUGACCCCACAUGUCCAGUGACAUCUAACACUGAUGCUCUAAAUACAGUGUUUGCAGGGCUGCUAAGGCUACAAGCAGGUCAACUCCACUGCAGAGCAGUAGACUUGAUUAGUCUCUGGAAAUAGAGAUGCAGGUACUGGCAGAUUUGACUCAGCCUAUUCCAUAUCCAAAAAGAAAAGGGAGAGGUGAGAGAGACUGAUUUAUGCAGCUUGCUGAAAAGAGACUUCUUUUUCUUUUUUUAAACCCUGGCUGUAAAAACAAAACUGCUGCCCAGCCAGAGUAAGCAGUCAUAUACCACAGGUCCCCUUACAGUAAGACUGAUGUUCUGCACUGAGGUUCAAGGAGCAAAACAAAUAACCCUGCUCCCAGUGCCAUGAUUUGAAUUUGCUUUCGGCCAGUUGGUUACCAGCUUUCAAGGGACCAUUGACAUGCCUAUGGUGCUGCCUGGAGCAAAUUGCAACAUAUUUGGUGCUGAAACAUGCAUUGUGUAGUGAUUAUUAUUAUCGUCAUAACCUCUGUUUCAUAUUUGAAUGCUGCUGGGACAUGGAGAACAAUGGUCAUCCCUUGCUUUGUUUUUCUUGCUUGGCUUUAAUGGCUGGGGUUUGAUUUUGUCAACAGACAGUACUUGUAACUUUUGUGAGCUUUAGUUUCUUCCAGCCAUUGAAAUUAAUUGUCUUGUAGCUCUUUGUCAGACAGAGAUGUGUUCGCUUUGUGAAUUGGAAAUUGAGAGAUGGAAGUAUUCUGACAGCUCCCAGGGAAGGAUGGAAACCCUCCUAUUCACAACCUACUCAUCACAGCACUGGGGAGAAGAUUCAUGUACCUAGUGCGACAGGAGGGGCAGAGCAGGGCAAGGACGUGGCAGCUUGCAUCAUUCCCCUGCUGCUGGCAAGGCAAGUCCCUUGCCACCAGCCACUCUCUGCACUCAGUUCCCCGCAGGGCUCCGUUUCCUGCCCUCACUCCUUCCUGUGCUUGAGUGGUGGCUCCUACCUUAAAGCAGCUAUUUUCAAGUUUUAAUAAUGUUUUGCAACUCAUUUCCUGUUUCUUAGCUGACAGCCUUUCCAAAAGUAAUCUUUGGCAGGUACUAAUUUGGGUGAUGACCACUUGAUCUACAUUUUUGGUGGGUAAUUACUGAGUCAGAAGUGAGCAAAUUUGAUAUCCCCUGACAGUCAGUAAGGCGGGCAUAUUUACUACCCACUCAUUAAAGAUUCACUGGUGGUGAAAUGCCCUAAAGUUUGCACUCCUCUCACACAUGAGAAAAAUUUGUCUGUUAAGUCCCAGAAGUUACCACUUACGUUUAUUUUGUCAGAUUUACAGAGUCUAAGAUAUGUUGGCACUUUGAAAAACAACUUUUUUUAAGACCAGAUACCUUGGUGUAAUGAAACUACCACUAGAUCAAAAGUCCAAUUGUAUCUGAGGCUGGAUAGCAUCCUGCAUCCCAUAACAAAUCUGUUCCACAGACAUGUUGUUUUACAGUGAUAACUGAAUCUCAAAAAUUUGGAGGUCUGAUUUGCACAAAUGCUGAUAAGUUCGCAAACCAAUGCCGAGCUCCUACAGCCACCAGAGCCAGGUUCAUUGGAAUGCUCUGGCAGCUUUGCUUCACUCUAGUGAUACAAAGCAGCUGUAAAUCCGGUUGUGCUGGCCUUACGUUGUCAGAAUGGCCAGAGUGUACCAGUGAGUCCUGCCCUCUGUACUGCUAUUGCAAUGAAAUUGGGCUGGGUAUCUACAAAGGGAAAAGGGAGGCUGUUCUGAGAUUAUCAGCACAGCUUGCUUCCUUGCAUUACUUUAGUACUAGUGUCUGCUUCCUAUAAGAUCCUGUGCAAAAGCGAGCGAAAAGAAAACAUAAUGUGGGAAGAAAUAGCCAGACUUCUUUUCAAAUGUCAAAUGUCAAAGAAAUUCAGAUUUAUUUUGAGUUUUAGAAGAAAUGUGGGAAAGGAAUAUUUGCCAGAUUCUUGCCCUCCCCUCCUGGCUUCUAUGAACUACCUUUCAAUUCCCUCUUCCCCAGUAAGUUUUCCCAAAUUGUAGAGAUCAAGUCCCUACUGCAAAUCCUCUGAGAAGUCACUUAAGUAGAUUGAGAAUCUAAAUGAAACUCAAUCUUUGUUUCUGAAGCAAGAAGUAGCUGGUAGAGUGUCUAGUUUUUUCCACUUUCCUUCCACGGUACCUAAAGAUAUUGAAGCUAUUAUGAACGUGACAAGGUACAAUACUUGCCUUAAAACCUCCAACAAUACCGUUUGUCUCCAUCUUACAACUUAUUCCUCAGCAUGGGCUGAGAACUUUUCCUGACCACUUGCACUUCCAGCUGUCCAUCAUUUGGCUUGUGCAUUGGUGUGCAUGCUCAGUCCCCCUCAGCUGUGCUUGUGGCAUCAUCACCUUUAUGACAGCACUGAGGAUAGAAUCCACAGUGCUUAGUAUGUGGCUCUUCAGGUUUCUUGUGAGCAAUAUUGAUUAAAUUCAUUUAGUCUCUUAAUGUGGUUUAAAUACAUAGGGUUGGUUGUCUGGUCCGUAUGCAGAGAGGACAGAAAACAGAUCCCCUAGAAUUCCAUCAGAAUUCAUUAGGGUUUUGAUGAAUAGCAACUGCUAAGAAAUUGUCUCCCAGGACUUGGAAAUUAGUCAGUACCGAACCAUACAGAUGUCAAAUCACCUAAAGAGAAAACUGAGAAAAGCUGGCUGAGAGAAUAAUCUGUUACUGAAAUCUGCAGAAUUGGUUUUUAAGGAAAAACAGAUAGAAAGAAAGAAAGAAAGAAAGAAAGAAAGAAAGAAAGAAAGAAAGAAAGAAAGAAAGAAAGAAGGAAGGAAGGAAGGAAGGAAGGAAGGAAGGAAGGAAGGAAGGAAGGAAGGAAGGAAGGAAGGAAGGAAGGAAGGAAGGAAGGAAAGAAAGAAAGAAAGAAAAAAAGAAAGAAAGAAAGAAAGAAAGAAAGAAAGAAAGAAAGAAAGAAAGAAAGAAAGAAAGAAAGAAAGAAAGAAAGAAAGAAAGAAGGAAAGAAAGAAAGAAGGAAAGAAAGAAGGAAAGAAAGAAAGAAAGAGAAAGAAAGAGAGAGAGAAAGAAAGAAAGAAAGAAAGAGAGAGAGAAAGAAAGAAAGAAAGAGAAAGAAAGAAAGAAAGAAAGAAAAAGAAAGAAAGAAAGAAAGAAAGAAAGAAAGAAAGAAAGAAAGAAGAAAGAAAGAAAGAAAGAAAGAAAGAAAGAAAGAAGGAAAGAAAGAAAGAAGGAAAGAAAGAAGGAAAGAAAGAAAGAAAGAGAAAGAAAGAGAGAGAGAAAGAAAGAAAGAAAGAAAGAGAGAGAGAAAGAAAGAAAGAAAGAGAAAGAAAGAAAGAAAGAAAGAAAAAGAAAGAAAGAAAGAAAGAAAAAGAAAGAAAGAAAGAAAGAAAGAAAGAAAGAAAGAAAGAAAGAAAGAAAGAAAGAAAGAAAGAAAGAAAGAAAGAAAGAAAGAAAGAGAAAGAAAGAGAAAGAGAAAGAGAGAAAGAGAAAGAAAGAGAGAAAGAGAGAGAGAGAGAGAGAAAGGAAGGAAGGAAGGAAGGAAGGAAGGAAGGAAGGAAGGAAGGAAGGAAGGAAGGAAGGAAGGAAGGAAGGAAGGAAGGAAGAAAGACAGGAAGAAAGAAAGACAGGAAGAAAGAAAGACAAAGAAAGAAAGGAAGAAAGGAAGAAAGGAAGAAAGGAAGAAAGAAAGAAAGAAAGAGAGAGAGAGAAAGAAAAAUACCCUCUGGUAUUUCCAGUCCCUGGGAUUGGACAUCCCACUUUCUUGGACUUGUAAAGAGCUUUCAGAGGGAGUAUGUGCAUAUGAAAUUAGCAGGGAGAAUAUUGAUUGUAGUCACUGAAUUUGAUUUCAUGGUUUGGAUUGAUUCAGUCUAAACACAUUGAGUUUGAAGGAUAUUCAACCACUUAUUUCUAAGUGGCAUUUUAUAAAAAUAUUACCCUGUAUUAACCCAGUGAACAGUAUUGUAAGUGGCACAGUUUAUGUUUAUUACACUUAUUGAACAGGCUCAAUAUUUCAUAUAAAAUAUAUGGUGGCAAUGGGAAAAAAUGCUUGUAAUUCUUCAAAACUGUAUCAGUCACUUCCUUCAUUGAACAUCCUGUCAAUAUGUGUGCUGUAUCGAAAGUAAAAUAUGCACUAAUCUAUAUAAUUGGCAAUGUGAUUAUCUUUUUAAUUGUGAAAACUAUGUAUGUAUCUUCUGUUUUGUGGUGAGGAAAAAAAAAAACAUCAAAAUAUCACCCUGUGUGAAGAAUGGCAAGGCAUGUUAUUUGGAAAGCCUUGUUCUAGUGAUCACCAGUGCAAGCAGUGCUGGUGGGCACCUGAACCGGUGGGACUGGGCUCCAAAUCCAGUUGGAGUUGCUGUGGGAUCCUUGUAUACCCACAUAAGAAGCAGGGCUGCUUUCUGGCACAGCUGCCCCCACAUGAUUUAAAUACAUGUUGAUUCUUGAGUGUGUUGUGUCCAUUAAAUGGAUGUAUUUUCCAAGUUAGGCAGCAUAUGCAAAUCAAGAACCUCAAGAAAAUUAAAAUAACCAUCUACAAAACAGACCAAAAAAAGUUCAGUUUUAUAUUUUUCUAAAACUGCUGUGUUUCAUAUUACCACAGCUUCCCAAAUUUCAAAUCCAGAUCAAAAUUUCUGUCAUCAAAGACUUUAGCAGUGGUCUGAUCUUUUUAUUUUUAUUUUUACUUUUUUUUUUUGUCCUUUUUUUUUUAUUAUUUAAAUCUGUUUUACUCUGUUAUUCUGAAGCUUCUGUGAGAUUUCCCCUAGAUUUUUUUUCCACAGGCAGAAGCCACCAUUUAUUUGCAUUUUAACCUAAGACUGGAUUUUGAACCUGAAAUUCAAGAUUACAUUCAAAAUACUGAUGUUUCCAAUCACAGAAAUAAUUAUCAAAUGUAAAGCUGAUCCAGAAUUAAUUUUGGAUUUGGGCCACCGUCAAAUUCCACAGGUUCUUAUAUCUGCUCCAGAUAGAUCAGGAAAAUGCUCUUGAAGCUUCAGGGCUAUGUAUAUGAACUUUCUUAAGCAAAGGAAAUGAUAAUGUAUAAGAGGAAGUAAAACGAUAAAAUAAAGUCCAGAAUUACAUAAAACAAAACCAAAAACCCAAACAAAAACCUGUGUGCACUUUAUAGACUGUAAGACUUGCUCUGCCAUUGCUGCUUGGGAGAAACAAGGCAAUGCAGGUCUAGUGAAAAUCAUCCAUCAACAAAACCUCUGCUCGAGCACAUCCUUUUUGCAGUUGGUGUUAGUUGAAAGUUAGUGUUUUCUCUCCAUGUUUUUACAUGCUUCAGCACCUCUUGGUUUAAAUAAGGGAGGGGAACACUCAAGUAAUAUCGUAUCUCUGAUUCUGUCAGGAGAAGGAAAUCCUGAAGACCUCACUCCUGAAAGUUUAUCUGAAAUAAGCCCUAUUUGAAGGUUCAUUCAACUUGCCUCAUUGUACAGCUGUUAUUAAUGUGAUUAAAUGACAGUGAGUACAUAUGUAAAAACCCAACCUCUGUUUCUUGUGUCUAUAAAUCUCAAUUCAAUAAAAAAGGAGAAAGGAUUCUUAAAAUCCAAAGAAAUAUCACAUAUAGCUCUUCUGCCUUUAUUUGGUAUGACAGCACUUUAUUUCCUUGAACAGACCAAUGUGGUGAAAAGGAUUCUAAAACAAUACUUCUGUAUAACCUAUCUGCUAAAGCUGCUGUGAAAUUCCAGUUUUGUGUAUUUAACCUCCCUGUUUUUAUCUUCACUGGAAUAAUUCUAAAACAACUUCAGUUGUUCUUCCCUAAAAAUUGUAAUCUCAUUAUUCUUUUUUUCCCCUCCCCUCUUUUUUCUCUUGUACAGUUAUCCAGUAUUCAGGUAAGUAUUUAAACAUGCACUUGAUUCCACCUAAGUCAAUGAGACUCCAACAUGUGCUUAAGUGCCUACUGAAUUAGGGCCUUGAUUUGCAUCACAAACACAUCACCACUGCUCAGGAGCUGUUGGAAGACUCAUCCUCAGAAGCCUGCACUGCAGUACCUCACACAAACUCAGUGGUUUUCCCUGUGCCAUGGGAUGGACUGUAGGGGUGGUCGGGCCAACAACCUGCACUGGGUGCCCCCUCAGCCUUCUGUGGCAUGGGCAGCACCCACCCUGGCCAUGCACCAUUGAGAGGUUCUGGGUGGUCUGAAACAGCACAGCACUGCUAGAGCUCUUCCAGCAUUUAGACAGAUCUUGAGAUUAUGGAGGGUAACAGCCAGGUUAGGUAACCUCUAGAAGUAUGAUCUACAAAUAUUUAACAAGGAAAAACUAAUUAUGCCACUCCUGUCACAGUAAGAACAAGGCUUGGAAACUGUAUGAUCAAUAUGGGAAUUUUAGCUGUAAUGCAGUCUGUCAGCCUUUUAGCCAACCAAAAAGCUUCAGCAACUCUAUAAACAGAAUUGACCCUCUAUCUGCUCAUUCUUGCUUGUUCCAGCAAAUUUUACUGUAUUCAUGUUCCAUGUUAGCAGUUGUCUAUCAUGAGACCUUGUAAAAACAGUAUUAAAGAAACACCUCUUCUAAAACUGAAUUUGUCUCCAAGUACAGAAACUAGAAGCUGUCUACUCAAAGUCGUAGGAAUUUAGCUGAGCCUCAGUUAAAUAAAUACUGUGUUAGAUUCUAAGCAACUCCUAGGAGGUUCUUGAGAACGCAUGUUGUGCUAAGGCUAAAGAAACAAGGCACACAGUUAGGAUAAAUACAUGUAACGUUUUGCUGGCCUGGAUUCAUGUUCCAUCUCUGCAUGACUGCUAGCUUCUAGCUGUCAUUGCGUUGGCUACACAUUCAUAUCUAUAUUUAGAUAGUAGACAUUAUAUUUAAAGCUAAUUGGCUCUCUCCAAAAGAGGAGCCUGUUUGCAGUAACCUGGUGGUAUUUGGGACCAUGAGUCUUGGAUGCACAGAAGACAGAAGUUGGAACCCUUUCUAACUGUAACUACUGACAUCUGACUAUGCCAUAUAGUGCAGGAAAUUGUUUUCUUAUGAGGUGCAUAUGUUUUAAAAGAAGCAACAUGGUCAUGUAUUUUACAUGGGUUAUUAAAUAACUAUAAAUUUAAUGAUUCAGAUGUUUUGCAUUAUAACCUGGCAUCUCAGGAGGCAUGAAAAUAGCACAGUAGGAAAAUGUCAUUGCAUAUUUCAUAGGCAGAGCUGUUAACAAAUGGAAAUCCUUCUAUAACUAAAUAAAAGAUCCAUCUUUAGUCCCCUGUCUGCCUGAACCUUCCACUGGUCUUCAGAUGUGAAUAAACUCUGACUAAAGUGAAAUACUAACAACACUGUUACAAAUGCCAGAAAUGUAAAGAGAAGGGAAG